UAGGCACUGUGCAGGUAAGACGUGUGUGCGUCAAGAAAAGUGUCUGCCCAGUGCCUCGUCACCAGGUGUUGUGUGUUGGUCUGGUGUCAUCCAUCACGUGGCUUUGUUUUCCUUGUAGGUCGGGAAGAAGACGACGCAGACCGCGGAGGCGUGAGGUCCUGCACAUACAGGUUGGGGCUAGGAUGUUUCAACUCGUUCAUUGGAGGCAUAGGUAUGAAUGGUUUGGUUUUUGUGUUAAAGGUAAUGUAACGAGCGUGAUAAAAGCAAAACUUGUAAUCGGAAUAUAAUGAGGAAAGGGAGAUUUGGAGAUAACUAUUACAUUAUUCCGUAGUGGUGGGUAAAAUAGUUGUUCCAUUAUCAUAGACUACUUUGUUAACGCGGAGUAAUGUUCUGUAUAAUAGUGUACUGGGGCUGUGUGUUCACGCUCGGUAUAACGCAGCUUAAGGAAUUGGCUCCCGCUCUGUUUGGCAAUCCGCUUGCCUUCUUCUUUGACUGGUUAUACUGUCCUGCACAGCCAGUCUGGUUUUACUGUCUACAGUCACAUUCCAGUGUAGACUGUAAUUCUACAUCACGCUAGCUAAAAGCUUCAUCUAGCCGCUCUGACUACAAGUCUCUCUGGCCGCCGACUACUUCUCAGGCCUCCCUCACGGCUACUCGCUACCAAGCCUCCAGUACAUUUUGUAUCCUAUAAUUAACAUAGGGAAGUAGUAAGACGGCGUCCUUCCUGCUUGCCCCCAGCCUACCGCCCUGCCAAGGAUUUUCGUGGAGCUGAGGACAUCCAUACAUCUCUGCUACUUUAUAAGUAUCACCUGUCGUGAGUAAAACUUUAUAAUCAGUGAUUAAUUUUCUAUGGAUAUUUUUAUGUACCAGUGAGUGGCGUUCCCGCGUAAAAAAGCGCACCAGGUUUGGUCCCCAGUGAUGCCAGUGUCUGAUUGGUCGCCUAUGACUUAAGAGCUUCCUGAUCGUCUCUAGACAGACGCCAUAUUUAUCAUUGUGGUUGAGGUACCAAAUAUUUAUUUCUGCAAGUACACACAUUUUUUCAGUGAGUACACAUUUGUUGUUGCCUUUGCUGUUACACUAUUGUGCAUGUUUUGAUGUGUUAGGAUUUUAUGCAGUGAUUUCUUUAUUUAUGUGUGCAUAAAUUUAUUUCACGUGAUUUUCCUCAGACAUGCAGUUUUCUUUGAUACAAAUUUUAAGGGUAACUCCUAUAUUCAUGUAUUCUUCCAGUAUGCACUUGCCAUAAUCAUUUACUUGCCAAGUUUUUAUAAUUAUUUCAUCGCAUUCUUAUUUACAAUUAUAUUAACGCAAUUAGUACAGCACUUUAAUCACUUUAUAGUUUAAAUUAUCAUUAUUAUUUAUUGUAAAAGUGUACUUAGUAUAAUUUCAUUUUAUUUUUUCCUGAUUCACUUAUGUUCUUAUGAAGUACUCUUGUACUAAUAUUAUUAAUUUUCAGAGUGCUUAGCAGACCUGUAUGUUGAGAAGUUCUUAUUUAACCUGUCUGACUCAAGUUAUCGUCUGUUUACGUACGAGUACACACGCAGCACACCUGUACGUGGUCUACACAAUUUCUUUGGAGCGUCAGUCAGUCUGGCAGUGGCGUUCCUACACCUGCGCACCACUAACUUGGUGGAGCCACAUCCGUUUCACCCGAGAAAAACUCGUCAGCCACAGUCGCGCUGGAGGUAGACCUGUAUCCGCCCAAGCGUCUGAGUAGCCCUGGCAUCCUGCUCCGCCUCAUCUGUGUCCAUGUGACAGCAGUCUAUCUCCAUUUAUCUCUCUUCAGAAGAGGACGCAGACCGCGGAGGCGUGAGGUCCUGCACAUACAGGUUGGGGCUAAGAUGUUUCAACUCCUUCAUUGGAGGCAUAGGUCCUGCCACUACUGACGGGAGAACCAAACCAGCGUGUCCAAACAACCCCCAACCUGCGGCAGGAAACUGGCUCUUGCACUGGAAGACGCCAACUGUCUCGCUGCACCUUCCACGGAGGAAUUGGACCCUGCCUGAAAACACAUGCGUGCCAUCCAGGUAGCGCGGACACGCUGCCUCGCUGAACCUUCCACGGAGGAAAUGGACCCUGCCUGACAACACAUGCGUGCCAUCCAGGUAGCACGGACACGCUGCCUCGCUGAACCUUAUACGGAGGAAUUGGACCCUGCCUGACAACACAUGCGUGACAUCCAGGGAGCGCGGACACGCUGCCUCGCUAAACCUUCCACAGGAAUUGGACCCUUGAUAACACAUGCGUGCCAUCCAGGGAGGGAGGACAGACUGCUUCGUUUCGUGUAAUCUAACUAACAAAUACAUGUUGCCAAUCA